UUAUAGAUAAAACCAUUUAUAGAAAAACAGCCGGUAUCUUCAAGUUUUAAAGGAAGAGCUAUAGAUGGUACUGAUGAGGAAAAGACCAAGAUGAUUAAAAAACUUCAAGAUGAACUGGAGUCUAUGAAGAGACAGCAGUUACAAGAUAAACAACAAAUAUCUGAGUUGAUGAAGGAGAACUCUGGUCUCAAAACCAAGUUUCAACAAAGCACAAAAGCGAAAAAGAAAACAAAAGCAGAGAAAGGAGUUCAAGGAAAGCAAGCGGCACCAAGGCCUUACAGUUGCCAUCAGA